rnacentral:lncRNA from 1 species
AUGGCGACUUGCCCAGGGUCAUAUAGCUGGGAAGUGUCUGAGGCCAGAUUUGAACCUAGGACCCCCUUCUCUAGAUUGACCCAAAAGGGGAAAAAAGAGAAAAACAAAAUCCAUCCAAAGCCCAGUGACCAUCCCUCAGUGUCUGGGCUGGGCAGCUCCCAAAAGAAAACCUGGCCAAGGGAUAUGCACAGAAUUACUUUUUCUCUUUUUGCUUCCUGGCAGCUACAAAUUAGGGGACAACUAGGCUGCUCAGUGGAUAGAGAGCCAGGUCUAGAGAUGGGAGGUCCUGGGUUCAAACCUAGCCUCAGAAAACUUGCCUGGCCCUUACUUUUCUUCUGUCUUGGAACCAAAACUUAAUACUAUUUCUAAAACAGAAGCAGUUCACAGAGUCUCAUAGGAAGAGACCAAGAACCAGCAAUGGAUGAAAGGGACCAUAUCAGAAGAAGGUCUAACAGGUCUCAGAAGGUAAGGACUUUGGAUAGUAAAAGUUUUGCUUACUGGUAAAAUUUUUCCUAGAUGGGUACCUGUCUAUAGAUUCAGUAGAUGGGAAGCACUCACCUGGGCAAGUGUGAAGAUUCUAAAAUGCCAACAUCACUAACACAUUAGUCCCACAUCCCUACCUCCACCAAUACCUUUCAGACCUCCUCUCUACUUUCUUCUUCCUUUAUGUUUACUUAUUUCCCUUCACCUUGGUUUCCCUUCCUAGCUGCAUCCACCUCUUUCCUCAUUGCUCUCAUCUUUCUUUCCUGAGCAAGACUCCUCAAGACUUAACACUUUCAAUUCCUUCUUCAUCUUGCACUUUCAGGUAUUGCUCAUAUUUUCUUCCUACUGGUUUUCCUACCUAUAAUCUACUCACCU